GAUGAACGCUGGCGGCGUGCCUAAUACAUGCAAGUCGAGCGAACGGACGAGAAGCUUGCUUUUCUGAUGUUAGCGGCGGACGGGUGAGUAACACGUGGAUAACCUACCUAUAAGACUGGGAUAACUUCGGGAAACCGGAGCUAAUACCGGAUAAUAUUUUGAACCGCAUGGUUCAAAAGUGAAAGACGGUCUUGCUGUCACUUAUAGAUGGAUCCGCGCUGCAUUAGCUAGUUGGUAAGGUAACGGCUUACCAAGGCAACGAUGCAUAGCCGACCUGAGAGGGUGAUCGGCCACACUGGAACUGAGACACGGUCCAGACUCCUAAGGGAGGCAGCAGUAGGGAAUCUUCCGCAAUGGGCGAAAGCCUGACGGAGCAACGCCGCGUGAGUGAUGAAGGUCUUCGGAUCGUAAAACUCUGUUAUUAGGGAAGAACAUAUGUGUAAGUAACUGUGCACAGCUUGACGGUACCUAAUCAGAAAGCCACGGCUAACUACGUG
rnacentral:rRNA from 1 species